CUCCGAGCCACUGAGGGCGCUGCAGGAAGGCGUCGCCUAUCUGCGGGUUAAGGAUGAACCUGCGGCCGCGGCUGCCUUGUCGCGGGAUGAAAGGCCGAGGUUGCGGCAGUGCGGGUUCCCGGCAUCGUGUCCCGCAGUGAGUUUGAAUGAAGUUGGGGAAAGGAGCCGGCUUUAUUAUAGGGCCCUGUAGAAGAACACUGAUUUGGUGGAAGGCUUCUUAGCCUGUUAAUGCAUAAAGUAAAGAAAGUUAAACUUGAAGAUACUACAGAAAGUUGCAAAAGGGAAGUGCUUGUGUGAAGAUUUCCUGUACUUAAAAUCUCCCCGACAAUCAUCUGCUGAGAAACUGAAAGAAACAUCGAACAGCUGAUUGUCAACGUGGUUUCAGU